CAGCUGGUCAUCCAAGAUUGUCUCAUCUUCAAUGCUGAUUUCUUAAAUAAAAGGUUUCGCUCAAGAAAGGCUAUAUUUUCCAUGCAAGAAAAUGAGCUGGAUAAGAAAACUGUGUGCCAGAAUGAAGAUAAAUUACUGAAAAGAUAAUACCUGAGAGCCCGUUCUGCACCCAGGGGAGGCAAAGAGUCAUCCAUUCUUGGCUAAGAUCAGGAGCCCUUUUGUGUAACAGGAGAUCUGCGGCUGAAGAUGUCCCCCAAAGUGGGCAAACCGACAUCAACUCAACAACAGCAGAUGAAAACUGAAGUAAUUAAUUAUUGGUGUUUCCUAUCAUAUAUAAUGAGAAAUACUGCUCUUGGUUUUGUCUAGACUUCAUCGAGGUUUAUCCAACUUGCCUAAAAUCACACAUCAUCCUUUUUUUUCUCACACACAUAAAAUGAACUAUCAUAGUGGAAACUGACUACAUGUUUCAGAAAAAUUUAGAUAGCAUUACUGAAUGCAUGAAAACGUUAUGUUCUGAAAUGUGAUUAUCCAUUUUUGUCAUUUUCUCUGUAUUAUGCCCACCACAAACAAGACAGAUUUAAGGAUAACAUAAGAAAGAGUAUCUUCAAAAUGGAGUUUCCCAGUUUCUGAAAUUUUAGUCUUUACCAUACCAGGUUAACAUUUACUAGAUAUAUGAAUAUUAUGCAUUACAAUGCAAAAAUAGAGCCAAAAAUACUAAUGAAAUUUGGAGUUACACAGAUAUAGUGAAAGUAAUGCCACUGAUUGUAUACAAAGCUGAGUAUGAGACUAGUUUUCUGACCAAAUAUUGAUGUCUCUAUCUCUUUGGUGUUCAAUUUCCUUAUCUAUAAAAUAAUUCAAUUUAACUCUGUCAAUUCUAAAGCCCUGUUUACCUGUAAAACAUCCAACAAAAUGCAACCAAGACAAUAUUUAUAAUACAAUCAGAAAAUAGAACCUAAAAUUUAAGUUACUAUUAAAAAUUCGGGGAUGGUUCAUCAUUUCCCUUCUUAUGGGUGUUUCAGUUUCUAGAAAUGGAAUUCUAGAUCAACUAUCGAUCUUCUUGUUGAUAGUCAAGAGGUGAUGUAUUUUAAGACUGCAGAAGUUUUAUGAUCUGUACACAUUGGUUCUGUACUUCAU